UACGUAGGGUGCGAGCGUUAAUCGGAAUUACUGGGCGUAAAGCGUGCGCAGGCGGUUUUGUAAGCCAGAUGUGAAAGCCCCGGGCUCAACCUGGGAACUGGCAUUUGGGACUGCAAGGCUUGAGUGCGGCAGAGGAGACUGGAAUUCCUGGUGUAGCAGUGAAAUGCGUAGAUAUCAGGAGGAAUACGAUGGCGAAGGCAGGUCUCUGG
rnacentral:rRNA from 1 species